GAUGAAGAACGUAGCGAAAUGCGAUAAGUAAUGCGAAUUGCAGAAUUCAGUGAAUCAUCGAAUCUUUGAACACACAUUGCGCCCGCCAGUAUUCUGGCGGGCAUGCCUGUCUGAGCGUCGUUUCGACCCUCGCGCCCGGCUUCUGUCGGGGGCGGUGUUGGGGAUCGGCCACACCCUUCAGUGGGAGGCCGGCCCCUAAAUUCAGUGGCGACCACGCUGUAGCCUCCCCUGCGUAGUACUAAAACCACCUCGCAGGCGGAGAGCGGUGCGGCCCGCCGUAAAACCCCCCAACUUUUACAAGGUCGACCUCAGAUCAGGUAGGAAUACCCGCUGAACUUAAGCAUAUCAUAAGCGGAGGA
rnacentral:misc_RNA from 1 species